GAGGGAAUUCCUCAAAUGUUAAAGGCACACAUAUAGUGAUUUUAGUAUUUUCAUCAAUGAAUCAAGCACUUACAUUUAAAAAAGUGACAUUUGAUGAAGUGGAACUGCUGAUGAUGAUCAGAACGGAACUCUUCAAUGACGCAUAGUUCACGUUUGGCAAUUUGUCCUCUUCGUUAUCAAGUUAGGUUUUCAAGGCACAUUUCUGUCAAGCUCGAGUUCUGAUGAUGGGAUCCAUGAGGAAUCGAGGGAACUCCUCAAAUGUGAAAAACAUACAUAUAGUGAUUUUUGUAUUUUCAUCAACAAAUCAAGCAUUUACAUUUAAAAAAUGGCAUUUGAUGAAGUGAAACUGCUGAUGAUGAUCAGAAUGAAACUCUUCAACGACGCAUAGUUCACGUUUGGUGAUUUGUCCUUUUCGUUAUGUUUGUU